rnacentral:rRNA from 1 species
CCUACGGGUGGCAGCAGUGGGGAAUUUUGCGCAAUGGGGGAAACCCUGACGCAGCGACGCCGCGUGGAGGACGAAGGCCUUCGGGUUGUAAACUCCUUUUAUAAGGGAAGAUAGUGACGGUACCUUAUGAAUAAGCCACGGCUAACUCUGUGCCAGCAGCCGCGGUAAGACAGAGGUGGCAAGCGUUAUUCGGAAUUACUGGGCUUAAAGGGCGCGUAGGCGGUUUGGCAAGUCCGAAGUGGAAUCUCACGGCUUAACCGUGAAAUUGCUUUGGAAACUGCUUGACUUGAGUCAGCGAGGGGAUGACGGAAUUCCUGGUGUAGCAGUGAUAUGCGUAGAUAUCAGGAGGAAGUCCGGUGGCGAAGGCGGUCAUCUGGCGCUUGACUGACGCUGAGGCGCGAAAGCGUGGGGAGCAAACAGGAUUAGAUACCCUGGUAGUC